rnacentral:rRNA from 1 species
UGGGGAAUCUUGCACAAUGGGGGCAACCCUGAUGCAGCGACGCCGCGUGAGCGAUGAAGCCCUUCGGGGCGUAAAGCUCUUUCGACCGGAACGAUAAUGACGGUACCGGGAGAAGAAGCUGCGGCUAACUACGUGCCAGCAGCCGCGGUAAUACGUAGGCAGCAAGCGUUGUUCGGAGUUACUGGGCGUAAAGAGUGCGUAGGCGGUUUUCUAAGUUCGGUGUGAAAUCUCCCGGCUUAACUGGGAGGGUGCGCCGAAGACUGGGAAGCUGGAGUGUGGGAAAGGCAGGCGGAAUUCCUGGUGUAGCGGUGAAAUGCGUAGAUAUCAGGAGGAACACCUGCGGUGUAGACGGCUUGCUAGACCAUAACUGACGCUGAGGCACGAAAGCGUGGGUA